GUGAAGCCCAGCUUGCUGGGUGGAUCAGUGGCGAACGGGUGAGUAACACGUGAGCAACCUGCCCUCCACUUCGGGAUAAGCCUUGGAAACGGGGUCUAAUACCGGAUAUGAGCGCUCAUCGCAUGGUGGGUGUUGGAAAGUUUUUCGGUGGGGGAUGGGCUCGCGGCCUAUCAGCUUGUUGGUGGGGUGAUGGCCUACCAAGGCGUCGACGGGUAGCCGGCCUGAGAGGGCGACCGGCCACACUGGGACUGAGACACGGCCCAGACUCCUACGGGAGGCAGCAGUGGGGAAUAUUGCACAAUGGGCGCAAGCCUGAUGCAGCGACGCCGCGUGAGGGAUGACGGCCUUCGGGUUGUAAACCUCUUUCAGCAGGGAAGAAGCGCAAGUGACGGUACCUGCAGAAGAAGCGCCGGCUAACUACGUGCCACCGCAUAAAGGCGGGGGGGUGCUACCAUGCAAGUCGACGGUGA
rnacentral:rRNA from 1 species